rnacentral:lncRNA from 1 species
ACCUUUCUUGCUAAUUGAUCAACACAAGUACAAUCCAUCAAAUGUAUUAAUCCCUAGUUUCAAUGUCUUUUCAAAGACCUACACUAAGAUGGAUUUUCCAAGCCCCAAGCUAAGGAAAGAAAAUACAAUUUGAGUAAUACUCAAUCAAUUCAUCCAAGUCUAAUGAAAAGAAGAGGUCAAAUAUUUAUUUAUACUAUUACAUAGUAAAUAUCUAAAAUACACUUAAUGAAUAAGGUAAAUGGGG